CUUGGCCAAAAUUGAACCCGGGACUGCGGCCUGCAGGCCGACGCUCUAACCGCUGAGCAAAACCAGAUAGGGCGAGGCACACUAUUAACAAGGCGUUGAUAUUCCAAGAAAUAUAUUUUAGGAAAGGUUCUUCUAGAAUAUAUACUCUUUUUAUUUAUAUGGUAUGGUGUGGUUUUAUUUACAAGUUUAUUUUUUAAGCUUUUUUAUCCCGCCCUAGAAAAAAAGUUAGUGCAAAAUACUAAGGAAAUUAUUACUCUAAAAUUUUAGCUUUCUCUGAUUUUUGUUCUCUUUUCAUUGGAAACCUACUAAAUAUUAACCAAAAGAAAAAGAGAUUUUACUAGUUGUGAUAACCAUUGCCACGCAGAAACCGAAGAGCAGUGGUUCUUAAACUUUGAUGUCUUCAAGAAUCACUUCAGGUGUUUGUUUAAAACACAGGUACGCUGAUUCUGCAGGUUUGGGGUGGGUUUUUCAACAAGCUCCCUAGGUGAUUCUGAUAGGGUAGUCAAUAGCAUUGACUUUGCAGUAUACUGGCCUAAAGGGAUUCCAUAUGUUGGACCUUAGGUUAGACUGUUGUAACAGUAAGACAUUGAGAAGUUUCCAAGCCUUUUUACCUUGGGCAUUUUUAGAAUUAAGCAUUUGUUUUAAUUUCUUGUUUUCAAGAAAUUGAAAAAAAGCAGUCUCACAAAUAGCAAGAUGUCAGGCCAGCUUUUACAUGUUAGCAAAUAUUUUCUGAUGUUUGUAAAGGAUGGUAAUUAUUUGCUUUAUGCCAUUCAAAGCUUCUACCUAAUUUUAUUUUUUAUUUUCACUUAUUUUGAAGCAAAUUCUAUUAAUAAAUUAUCAAAGAAUUUGGCUCUAAAGAACUACAUAAGCAUAUGUCACUUUUUAAAUGACAAAGGGAUAUGAAUGCAAUAUAAUUAUCACCAGUGUCUAAAAAACAAAUAGAAUAACCAUAAGGGUAUAGAAAUACAUGGACGUGUAUGUGAGUAUUCUUGCAAUUAAAAUGGAUCCUCUUAUAAAAUUAAAUGCUUUUUUGGUGCACCCAAAAACCUGUUGAUUAUAAGUGUACUUUAACUUUUAAUAACUUGUUUAUGUAUAAAAGUAAAAAUUAGUGAGGGCAAGAAUAAAUGAAAUAUUUAUAUAGCCUUUUCACACAGAGAUAUAACUGCAUGCUAGUUUUAUUUCUUCCAUGUGUGGAUGAUAAGCUCUAUUAAAAACUAUAGCAAGUAUUUUUACAUAUGAUUUCAGUAAAGAGAAAACAUAAAGGUCAUCCUUAUUAGGUAAAACUUCCAUUUUAAUACCUGAAUUCUAAUAAAUGGAUUGCAUUAUUUCCUUUUCUAGAAACUAACUCAAGAACACAUGGAUCCUGGGAACUGCAGUAGGUGUUCCCAAGCAAGACAACAGAACAAAUUAAUAGUUUUACCAGAAGAAACCUCAAUCUAUAAAAAGGCUCACGCCUGAAGAGCUUCCACAUUGAAUGCCGACUGGAAUGGAGCAGUGUCCACAGUGUUGUGUAGUUUGGGAUUUCUCUACUCGUCCAAGUGUGAAGGUAACAGACUUUCUGUGAUAUGCAGUGUGCUACUCAUUUAAUCAGACACUACCAAAAUGAAUCAAAAUUAAGAAGAAAAAGGCCCAUAGGUGAGUAUUGAAAUCAGGGAAGCUGCCAAGGAGGGAUGGCAGUUUUUUUUAGGGGGGUGCAGUGAGCAGUAAAAUCCUUUUGUGAAGAAAAACUAAAACUUUUUUUUUUACUUUGAAAAUUAAAUGUAAGUUUAAGAAUCUUGAAAUCUGUUAAAAUAGUUAACAAUAAAGUUAAUAACAGUG